GGCGCCGUGGCUUAGUUGGUAAAAGCGCCUGUCCAGUAAACAGAAGAUCGUGAGUUAGAAUCUCACAGGUGCCU